CCGACCUCAGAUCAGGCGAGACUACCCGCUGAGUUAA
rnacentral:rRNA from 1 species